AUUGAACGCUGGCGGCAGGCUUAACACAUGCAAGUAGAGCGAGAGGCGGACGGGUGAGUAAUGGCUGGGAAACUGCCUGAUGGAGGGGGAUAACUACUGGAAACGGUAGCUAAUACCGCAUAACCACAGAGGUGACGAGAUGGGAUUAGCUAGGAGGUGGGGUAAUGGGUCACCUAGGCGACGAUCCAUAGCUGGUCUGAGAGGAUGACCAGCCACACUGGAACUGAGACACGGUCCAGACUCCUACGGGAGUCAGCAGUGGGGAAUAUUGCACAAUGGGCGCAAGCCUGAUGCAGCCAUGCCGCGUGUGUGAAGAAGGCCUUCGGGUUGUAAAGCACUUUCAGCGAGGAGGCGUUACUCGCAGAAGAAGCACCGGCUAACUCCGUGCCAGCAGCCGCGGUAAUUC
rnacentral:rRNA from 1 species